UCAAAAAUCUUUUACUGUAGGAUGGUGGCUCGCUGGACCAGUGCCUGAAAAAAGCAGGCAAGAUCCCAGAACAAAUACUGGGCAAAGUUAGCAUUGCGGUGAUAAAAGGCCUGUCCUAUCUGCGGGAGAAACACAAGAUUAUGCACAGAGAUGUAAAGCCAUCUAAUAUACUGGUGAACUCGCGUGGUGAGAUCAAGUUGUGUGACUUUGGUGUGAGUGGACAGCUCAUUGACUCCAUGGCCAAUUCGUUUGUGGGCACCAGGUCCUACAUGUCUGUAAGUUUACAUUCCCAACAAAAAUACUAAUUCUAGCAAAUCAUCUCACUAAAAUCCCAUUAAAUUAUCUU